rnacentral:lncRNA from 1 species
CUUUCUCUCUAGCGGUCUCCUCACGCUUUUUCUUCCUUCACACCUGAGUCUCUUCCUCCCCUAGGAGACACCAGACACAUGGAUGCUGCCUGAAACAGGGGAUCUCUACAAGCUCCCUCUUCCCUCUGCACCCGAGCCGCUUCAGCCUCAGCAGGACACGCAUUCGAAGGAACCUGUCUACAUCCAUGAAAGGUGAAAGACGGUUCAGUUGAUUAGGAUGCCAUGCUUUGUCUAGGGGCGAAGGCUGCUGAUUCAAAGCCUGCUGUCUUGCCUUAAAUAGCAGGGUGGAUGAUUUCAGGGAGUGGGAUAUAAUUGGGUGGUGUUAGUGGCCUGACUGUAAGUCACACCCCUGCCCAUUCUGCAGCUCAGUGUGCUAUGAGGGAGAGGACUUGGGAAAUCAGGCUGGCAAGUUGCCCAGGGCUCUGCAGACCAGGGUUCUACUGUGGGGGGCAGAGGAAGGACUGAGCGUUGCUGUUUGAGCAUUUGGCCACCAGAUGGCAGCAGAGCUGCUCCCCCUGCAGCUCCUGGAUUCGUCUUCAGGCUCAGAGGCAAGGUUGGAGAUGGGUGUUUGGCACCCGGAGAGGUGCCCAGAGCUUUCCGUUUUGGUACAUGGUGCUUCUGACCCUAUGAGCAAAUAUGCCUCCUAUGAGAGAGGGGAAAUAAUUCUUUGAUCAUAUCUGUGGUUCAAUUCCUACAUGGACAGUUGGCCCAAUGGCUGGUGAGUGGACAGGCUGUCUCAGGUCUGAUUCCCCUUUGUUUGGAGGCCCAACUCUGGACAUAGAAAUAUGUGGAUUAUUUUUUGGCCAUACAGUUUGCUAGAAUCAGGUCUGUUCCAAAUGGAGUUGCGUUCUAGAAAGCUGGCCUUCUGGUUAUGAAUGAACUGUGUUAAACUGGGCGUUUUGGGGGGACAUGAUAAGCUCAUAACUGUGCUCUCUCUCUCCAUGGGUUUCUUCAAGCUUUUUCUUCCCUCCCACCUGAGCCUCUUUCUGUGCUGCCAGAACCUGUUGCAAGGAAGAUACUUCAAACAGAGGUCUCCGCAGCCUCUGUCUUCCCUCUGUAGCUGAGCUGCUUCUGCCUCUGCAGGACUCCACUUGAAGGAAGCUGUCUAAAUCCAUGUAAGGUGAGUCACAGCUUGUGUGUUUAGGAUUCCAUGCUGAGUCUGGGGAGGAAGGCUGCUGAUUAAAGCCCUGCUGUCCUAACUCAGAGCUCCCAUCAUGGCUCAGUGGUCAAUGAAUCCGACUAGGAACCAUGAGGUUGCGGGUUCAAUCCCUAGCCUUGCUCCAUGGGUUAAGGAUCCGGCGUUGCUGUGAGCUGUGGUGUAGGUCACAGACAUGGCUCAGAUCCCACGUUGCUGUGGCUGUGACGUAGGCUGGCAGCAGCAGCUCCGAUUCAACCCCUAGCCUGGGAACCUCUGUGUGCCAUGGGAGCGGCCCAAGAAAUGGCAAAAAAAGACAAAAAUAAUAACAGUAAAGCCUUGCUGUCCUAAUUUAAAUAGGAAGGUUGCUGCUUUCAGGGAAUUAGAUAAAGUCAGGUGUGGAGACUGGCCUGGCUGACUGUGAGAUGGUCCCUCCAUUGUAUGUAGUGCAUCUGAGGGGGCCUAGGGAGAUAUGGGUAUGCAAAUCACAUUAGCAAGAGCCCCGGGCUGGGGCAGAGCAGGGUUCCUCUGUGGGAUGUAGAAGGGCUGAGACUGGCUGUGAAUGCCCACAGCCCACCAGAUGGCGCCCUAGCACUAGCAGAACCCUUCUGCAUCUCCAGGACUA